ACAAAGACCAGAAGUCAUUCAACUGCUCCCCUCCUCUAUAUUCCCCGCGGAAGGGCGACUCCUCUUCCGACAUCCCACCCGACCUCUAUUUUUUAUUCUGGUGGUCCUCGGUUUACUACAGAUCGGCGCUUUCUUUAGGGUUUAUAUUUCCCUUCUCCCCACCCACUCGAUUCCCGGUGUCGAUGUAGAUUCGUCUCUGAUCCUGCCGGAGAUCUAGGAAGAAGAAGAAGAUUGCUGAUCCCUUCCCUCGGAGACGAAGAUGGUGGUAUCUGGUCCUGUGACUCCGGGACAGAUUUCAUUUUUGCUUGGUUUUUUUCCUGUGUUCGUAGCAUGGGUAUACUCAGAAAUAUUGGAAUACAGAAAAUAUUCCUCUCCUACUAAAGUUCAUUCGGAUGUAAAUUUGGUUGAAUUGGGAAAUGAAACAAUUAAGGAAGAUGAUCGAGCUGCUUUGCUUGAAGGAGGGCUAUCGAAAUCGUCAUCUGCAAAAUUUCAGAACGCGUCUGUGCAGGCAAAUUUAUUCAGGUUUAUAAAAAUGGACAAGUCUUUCUUGCUUGAAAAUAGAGCAAUACUAAGGGCGAUGUCAGAAUUUGGGGCGACUCUGGUUUACUUCUACAUCUGUGACCGCACAAAUGUGUUCUCAGAAUCGAAGAAGAAUUACAGCCGCGACCUGUUUCUUUUUCUUUACAUUCUUCUUAUCAUAGCUUCAGCCAUGACUUCUCUUAAGAAGCAUCAGGAGAAGUCUGCAUUCUCAGGGAAAUCUAUACUGUACUUAAAUCGGCAUCAAACUGAGGAAUGGAGAGGAUGGAUGCAGGUCUUAUUUUUGAUGUAUCACUACUUCGCCGCCACUGAGAUAUACAAUGCAAUACGUGUAUUCAUUGCUGCUUAUGUGUGGUUGACUGGAUUCGGGAACUUCUCUUAUUAUUAUAUACGGAAGGAUUUUAGCCUUGCUCGGUUUGCCCAGAUGAUGUGGCGGCUAAAUUUGUUUGUGGCUUUCUGUUGCAUUGUCCUGAACAAUGACUACAUGCUGUAUUAUAUAUGUCCAAUGCACACUCUUUUCACCCUUAUGGUGUAUAGUGCUCUUGGAAUUUUUAACGAGUAUAAUGAGAUUGCAUCAGUAAUGGCUGUGAAAAUUGCUGGUUGUUUUUUGGUGGUGAUCUUAAUUUGGGAAGUUCCUGGAGUUUUUGAUCUUGUAUGGAGCCCUUUUACUUUUCUAUUAGGGUACAAAGAUGCGAAUCCUUCUAAAGCUAACUUAUCUCUCCUGCAUGAGUGGCACUUUAGAUCUGGCCUUGAUCGCUAUAUUUGGAUUAUUGGAAUGAUAUAUGCAUACUAUCAUCCCACUGUUGAAAGAUGGAUGGAGAGACUCGAGGAAUCUGAAACUAAAGUGAGGUUGUCAGUUAAAACAAGCAUAGUUACUGUUUGCUUGGUGGUUGGUUAUGUGUGGUACGAAUAUAUCUAUAAGCUAGACAAAAUUACGUAUAAUAAGUUCCAUCCAUACACAUCAUGGAUUCCAAUCACCGUUUACAUUUGUUUGCGGAACUUCACUCAGCAAUUACGAAGUUCUUCUUUGACUCUCUUUGUGUGGCUUGGCAAGAUUACACUGGAAACCUACAUCUCUCAGAUCCAUAUCUGGCUAAGGUCAAGCACGCCUAAUGGUCAGCCCAAAUGGCUUCUUUGUUUCAUUCCAGAUUAUCCAUUGCUCAAUUUCCUUCUUACUACUGCAAUCUAUCUCUUUAUAUCCUACCGAAUCUUUGAUCGGACAAAUUUGCUCAAGGCAGCUUUUAUUCCCACUAAAGACAACAAUCGCCUCCUGCAUAAUUUUAUUGCAGGAGCAGUCAUUUCCUUCUUCUUGUAUUGUAUCUCAUGGGUUCUUCUUAUGCCUGUUGCAUCGGGAUAACAAAUUGCUACAAAUGUUAAUCUGAGGUUUCCCGCUGGUUAGCAAAAUAUUCAAAUUACUGUCUACAAGAGAGGAGGAAGAACUAGAGCUGUCCAGAUUCAGAGGCAUUUUGAUUUGUGGGCUUCAAAGCCUAGGAGUUGUAUAUUUGUGGGGGCGGGGAGAUGAUCUUAGGAUCUUGGAAUUGGCCAUUCAUCACCCAUUGCCCUUCUAACAUGAAGAAGGUAAUUCCAGUGGGUCCCACCUGUUGUUUUCCUGACAACUUAAUGUAAUCAUUUCAUUGAUUUAAUGUUGGUGAACUUAGGCUCAUGAGAAUGUAAAGGUUUUUUAUCAACUCAUUAUUUGUACAUGUAUCAUCACAUUUUCUGGAUUUUCUGCAUCUGUUACUCUCGCAGAUGAAGCCAUACUGUCUUUACUAAAAAUCAAUAAGCAAAAAAAGAAAAGAAAAAAUCAAUAAAAAAAGCUUGAACUCAAACAGUUUGGAUUCAAGACUGCCUGGAGUUCAACUUCCAAAUUGUUUCAAUUAGAAGCAGGUAGUCUUGUUGUACAACCAGACUUUGAUCCGAA